rnacentral:rRNA from 1 species
CGGCCUUCGGGUUGUAAACCUCUUUCAGUAGGGAAGAAGCGAAAGUGACGGUACCUGCAGAAGAAGCGCCGGCUAACUACGUGCCAGCAGCCGCGGUAAUACGUAGGGCGCAAGCGUUAUCCGGAAUUAUUGGGCGUAAAGAGCUCGUAGGCGGUUUGUCGCGUCUGCCGUGAAAGUCCGGGGCUCAACUCCGGAUCUGCGGUGGGUACGGGCAGACUAGAGUGAUGUAGGGGAGACUGGAAUUCCUGGUGUAGCGGUGAAAUGCGCAGAUAUCAGGAGGAACACCGAUGGCGAAGGCAGGUCUCUGGGCAUUAACUGACGCUGAGGAGCGAAAGCAUGGGGAGCGAACAGGAUUAGAUACCCUGGUAGUCCAUGCCGUAAACGUUGGGCACUAGGUGUGGGGGACAUUCCACGUUUUCCGCGCCGUAGCUAACGCAUUAAGUGCCCCGCCUGGGGAGUACGGCCGCAAGGCUAAAACUCAAAGGAAUUGACGGGGGCCCGCACAAGCGGCGGAGCAUGCGGAUUAAUUCGAUGCAACGCGAAGAACCUUACCAAGGCUUGACAUGGACCGGACCGCCGCAGAAAUGUGGUUUCCCCUUUGGGGCUGGUUUACAGGUGGUGCAUGGUUGUCGUCAGCUCGUGUCGUGAGAUGUUGGGUUAAGUCCCGCAACGAGCGCAACCCUCGUUCUAUGUUGCCAGCACGU